rnacentral:rRNA from 1 species
AGUGAACGCUGGCGGUAGGCCUAACACAUGCAAGUCGAACGGCAGCACAGUAAGAGCUUGCUCUUACGGGUGGCGAGUGGCGGACGGGUGAGGAAUACAUCGGAAUCUACUUUUUCGUGGGGGAUAACGUAGGGAAACUUACGCUAAUACCGCAUACGACCUACGGGUGAAAGCAGGGGAUCUUCGGACCUUGCGCGAUUGAAUGAGCCGAUGUCGGAUUAGCUAGUUGGCGGGGUAAAGGCCCACCAAGGCGACGAUCCGUAGCUGGUCUGAGAGGAUGAUCAGCCACACUGGAAGUGAGACACGGUCCAGACUCCUACGGGAGGCAGCAGUGGGGAAUAUUGGACAAUGGGCGAAAGCCUGAUCCAGCCAUACCGCGUGGGUGAAGAAGGCCUUCGGGUUGUAAAGCCCUUUUGUUGGGAAAGAAAAGCAGCAGGUUAAUACCCCGCUGUUCUGACGGUACCCAAAGAAUAAGCACCGGCUAACUUCGUG